AUUGAACGCUGGCGGCAUGCCUUACACAUGCAAGUCGAACGGCAGCACGGGAGCAAUCCUGGUGGCGAGUGGCGAACGGGUGAGUAAUAUAUCGGAAUGUGCCCGGUCGUGGGGGAUAACGUAGCGAAAGCUACGCUAAUACCGCAUACGAUCUACGGAUGAAAGCGGGGGAUCGCAAGACCUCGCGCGAUUGGAGCGGCCGAUAUCAGAUUAGGUAGUUGGUGAGGUAAAGGCUCACCAAGCCGACGAUCUGUAGCUGGUCUGAGAGGACGACCAGCCACACUGGGACUGAGACACGGCCCAGACUCCUACGGGAGGCAGCAGUGGGGAAUUUUUGGGACAAUGGGCGCAAGCCUGAUCCAGCAAUGCCGCGUGCAGGAUGAAGG
rnacentral:rRNA from 1 species